rnacentral:tmRNA from 1 species
GGGGGCGACCGGUUUCGACGGGGGUACUGAAGUCACUGUCGCAUGUCGAGCUCUCGGGGUCUCGUAAAUCCUCCGGGAAAAUGCAACUGCCGAUCAAGAACUGGCACUCGCGGCUUAAGCCGUGACGUCUCUCCACCUGAGGCCCGCGGGGGUGGGCGGGGCGCGAUGCAGCGGGCUGGUCCACGGCUGGUGCUCAGCGGCUGAGGACGAGACCAUACUGGGCUGGCGGCCAGUCUAAGCCUGCCGAUGGGCGUGGGUGGCUGCAAAAUCUAAACGAUCGGCUACACAUGUAGACGCAGUGCACUGACGGUCUUCGGACCCGGGUUCAACUCCCGGCGUCUCUACCA